CGCUUCUUUCCUCCCGAGUGCUUGCACUCAAUUGGAAAGAGGAGUGGCGGACGGGUGAGUAACACGUGGGUAACCUACCCAUCAGAGGGGGAUAACACUUGGAAACAGGUGCUAAUACCGCAUAACAGUUUAUGUCGCAUGGCAUAAGAGUGAAAGGCGCUUUCGGGUGUCGCUGAUGGAUGGACCCGCGGUGCAUUAGCUAGUUGGUGAGGUAACGGCUCACCAAGGCCACGAUGCAUAGCCGACCUGAGAGGGUGAUCGGCCACACUGGGACUGAGACACGGCCCAGACUCCUACGGGAGGCAGCAGUAGGGAAUCUUCGGCAAUGGACGAAAGUCUGACCGAGCAACGCCGCGUGAGUGAAGAAGGUUUUCGGAUCGUAAAACUCUGUUGUUAGAGAAGAACAAGGACGUUAGUAACUGAACGUCCCCUGACGGUAUCUAACCAGAAAGCCACGGCUAACUACGUGCCAGCAGCCGCGGUAAUACGUAGGUGGCAAGCGUUGUCCGGAUUUAUUGGGCGUAAAGCGAGCGCAGGCGGUUUCUUAAGUCUGAUGUGAAAGCCCCCGGCUCAACCGGGGAGGGUCAUUGGAAACUGGGAGACUUGAGUGCAGAAGAGGAGAGUGGAAUUCCAUGUGUAGCGGUGAAAUGCGUAGAUAUAUGGAGGAACACCAGUGGCGAAGGCGGCUCUCUGGUCU
rnacentral:rRNA from 1 species